rnacentral:rRNA from 1 species
AGUGAACGCUGGCGGUAGGCCUAACACAUGCAAGUCGAACGGCAGCACAGUAAGAGCUUGCUCUUACGGGUGGCGAGUGGCGGACGGGUGAGGAAUACAUCGGUAUCUACUUUUUCGUGGGGGAUAACGUAGGGAAACUUACGCUAAUACCGCAUACGACCUACGGGUGAAAGCACGGGAUCUUCGGACCUUGCGCGAUUGAAUGAGCCGAUGUCGGAUUAGCUAGUUGGCGGGGUAAAGGCCCACCAAGGCGACGAUCCGUAGCUGGUCUGAGAGGAUGAUCAGCCACACUGGAACUGAGACACGGUCCAGACUCCUACGGGAGGCAGCAGUGGGGAAUAUUGGACAAUGGGCGCAAGCCUGAUCCAGCCAUACCGCGUGGGUGAAGAAGGCCUUCGGGUUGUAAAGCCCUUUUGUUGGGAAAGAAAAGCAGCAGGUUAAUACCCCGCUGUUCUGACGGUACCCAAAGAAUAAGCACCGGCUAACUUCGUG